UACGUAGGCAGCAAGCGUUGUUCGGAAUUACUGGGCGUAAAGAGUGUGUAGGCGGUGCUCUAAGUUCGGUGUGAAAUCUCCCGGCUCAACUGGGAGGGUGCGCCGAAAACUGGAGUGCUGGAGCGCGGGAGAGGAAAGCGGAAUUCCUGGUGUAGCGGUGAAAUGCGUAGAUAUCAGGAGGAACACCGGCGGUGGAGACGGCUUUCUGGACCGUAGCUGACGCUGAGACACGAAAGCGUGGGUAGCAAACAGG
rnacentral:rRNA from 1 species